rnacentral:rRNA from 1 species
GCUACAGUAGGGACAGGAUAGGCGGAAAUUGUGAGGGUGCAAUAGUUCAGCGGAGUGCUGUGUCGUAUAGCUCGCGUAGGUGGUUCGUUAAGUUGGAUGUGAAGUCCCCGAGCGCAACCUGGGAACUGCAUCCAAAACUGGCGAGGUAGAGUAGGGCAGAGUGUGGUGGAACUUCCUGUGGAGCGGUGAAAUGCGUAGAUAUAGGAAGGAACACCAGUGGCGAAGGCGACCACCUGGGCUCAUACUGACACUGAGGUGCGAAAGCGUGGGGAGCAAACAGGAUUAGAUACCCUAGUAGUC